GACGAGCGCUGGCGGCGUGCCUAAUACAUGCAAGUCGAGCGGACGGACGAGAAGCUUGCCUUUCUGUUGUUAGCGGCGGACGGGUGAGUAACACGUGGAUAACCUACCUAUUAGACUGGGAUAACUUCGAGAAACCGGAGCUAAUACCGGAUGACAUUUUGUAUCGCAUGGUUCAUAGGUGAAAGACGGUCUUACUGUCACUUAUAGAUGGAUCCGCGCUGCAUUAGCUAGUUGGUAAGGUAACGGCUUACCAAGGCAACGAUGCAUAGCCGACCUGAGAGGGUGAUCGGCCACACUGGAACUGAGACACGGUCCAGACUCCUACGGGAGGCAGCAGUAGGGAAUCUUCCGCAAUGGGCGAAAGUCUGACGGAGCAACGCCGCGUGAGUGAUGAAGGUCUUCGGAUCGUAAAACUCUGUUAUUAGGGAAGAACAAAUGUGGAAGUAACUGAGGUCAUUAUGACGGUACCUAACGAGAAAGCCACGGCUAACUACGUG
rnacentral:rRNA from 1 species